CCGGGAAACGGGCAGCUACCAUCCGCGCCGUUUCCGUGGGGUGGAGUACCGUUGGUUAUGCAAUCCUUUUUCCUGAACGGUUUUGCCUACGUUGAACAAUACCAAUUCUUGCGUUCGGAAAUGUUUUAAAUGCCUUGGUCAAAUGAUAAAGAGCGCAACAGAUAUCAUCCUAGGAAAAUAUCAAUCCUAGGAAAAUAUAUCCCUAUUUUGUAACCUGUGAGCCAACCUCCCUCGUCCGCUGUUGCAGCAGCAGAGAGAAGCGGAGUAUCAAUCUCAGGCUGUCCACGGUUUCCAGGGUGAAAUGUUCCCGUAGGAAGCUUAGAAUAGUUGAGGAAAAAAUAUCAACCGAAAAAGAAAGCGACAGAAGCCUAAUAAUAAUAAUAGCCUAAGCAUUGAGAACGGAAGAAAAGAGAACAACAAAAUCGUUCCGGAAGAUAACCCAGACGCGCUCAAUAGGCUAUCGCCUAAAGACAUACCGGAACGAUUCUUGGGGAACCUGGUCGAGUAAAGGAUGUAAAACUGUACUAACCGAUGCAUCCCAUACAAAAUGCUUAUGUGAUCGUGUAUCUACCUUCGCCAUUUUGGCACAGCAACCAAGAGAAAUAACCAUGGAGUACUCAGCGGUGCCCUCUGUCACUUUGAUCAUUGGCUGUGGUCUAUCCUGUCUCGCCUUGAUCCUGUUGCUAGUGGUCUAUGCUAUUCUAUGGAGAUAUAUCCGGUCUGAGCGGUCCAUCAUCCUAAUCAACUUCUGCCUGUCAAUCAUCUCCUCCAACCUCCUCAUCCUGGUUGGACAGACACAGACACACAAUGCGGUAGGAUUCCAUUUUCUACAGCAUGCACUUUAACUUCUUUACUCAAACACACAAUGCAGGUUGUGUAUAUAUGUUGUCUUGGAAGAGACGAACCCGUACAUACAGGCAAUUCAUGCACUUUAAUAUGCUUUAAUCAACAACAGGCACACUGUGGUACAUUAA